rnacentral:rRNA from 1 species
CGAAAGCCUGACGGAGCAAGACCGCGUGGGGGAGGAAUGCCUUAGGGUUGUAAACCCCUUUUAUCUGGGAAGAACAAAAUGACGGUACCAAAGGAAUCAGCCUCGGCUAACUCCGUGCCAGCAGCCGCGGUAAUACGGAGGAGGCAAGCGUUAUCCGGAAUGAUUGGGCGUAAAGCGUCCGCAGGUGGCAAUGUAAGUCUGCUGUCAAAACCCAGGGCUCAACUCUGGUCAGGCAGUGGAAACUACAUAGCUAGAGUUCGGUAGGGGCAAAGGGAAUUCCCGGUGUAGCGGUGAAAUGCGUAGAGAUCGGGAAGAACAUCGGUGGCGAAAGCGCUCUACUGGGCCACAUCUGACACUGAUGGACGAAAGCUAGGGGAGCG